AUGCUGAAUGUCUCCGGCCUCUUUGUUCUCCUCUGUGGGCUGCUUGUCUCAUCCUCUGCACAGGAGUUCCUGGCUGGAGUUUCUUCCCAGCUCCUUAAUGAUUUGACUCAAGGACUCCUCAGGGCAGACUUUCUUCCCAGCCUGCAGACAACUGGCCUCCAGAAACCAUUGAGUAGUGCCUUCGAUGGUGUAUCAGGCCUCCUGGACAUCUUUGGGCCUCCACUCACCAAUGAGAUCAACACUGUUAGCAUACAGGUGAAAAAUCCUCAACUCCUCCAAGUCUCCAUCGAGAGCACCCCUCAAAGAAAGGAGGCCACUGUACGAGUACCAUUCACGUCUGAGUUGAUUGUGCAGCUCCUGACCAUGAAGCCCUUCACAGCUAAUAUGCAGUCAGAUAUAAAAGUCCAGAUUCAUUUGGAGAAGAAUGUAGGUGGCAGAUAUGAGCUUGCCUUUGGGAACUGCAGGCUUUUGCCCGAGGCUAUUUGGAUCCAAACUGGAGUCCAACUCGCCCCAGCAGCAAAAUUUGUUGUGGCAAACAUAGAGAGAAACCUGAAAAACAUAGUAGCCCAUGAUCUGGGACGAAAAGUGUGCCCUGUGAUUAAUAAAUGGCUCUACAACCUGGACCAGCAUGUGGUUAAAGAGUUGAUUAAUCUGGUCCUGCUGCAGGAAAAGUACCAAGUCACCAUCUAA
rnacentral:sRNA from 1 species